UACGUAGGGAGCAAGCGUUGUCCGGAUUUAUUGGGCGUAAAGAGCUCGUAGGCGGUUUAGAAAGUCAGGUGUUAAACCUCCAGGCUCAACCUGGAGCCGCCACUUGAUACUUCUAUGACUUGAGUUCGGUAGGGGUAAGCGGAAUUCCUGGUGUAGCGGUGAAAUGCGCAGAUAUCAGGAGGAACACCGAUGGCGAAGGCAGCGAUCUGGGUAGAUACUGACGCUGAGGUGCGAAAGCGUGGGGAGCAAACAGG
rnacentral:rRNA from 1 species